GAGUAACGCGUCGGAACGUGCCGAGUAAUGGGGGAUAACGCAGCGAAAGCUGUGCUAAUACCGCAUACGCCCUGAGGGGGAAAGUGGGGGAUCGCAAGACCUCACGUUAUUCGAGCGGCCGACGUCUGAUUAGCUUGUUGGUGGGGUAAUGGCCUACCAAGGCGACGAUCAGUAGCGGGUCUGAGAGGAUGAUCCGCCACACUGGAACUGAGACACGGUCCAGACUCCUACGGGAGGCAGCAGUGGGGAAUUUUGGACAAUGGGGGCAACCCUGAUCCAGCCAUUCCGCGUGAGUGAAGAAGGCCUUCGGGUUGUAAAGCUCUUUCAGCCGGAACGAAACGGUAUCUCUUAAUACGGGAUGCUAAUGACGGUACCGGCAGAAGAAGCACCGGCUAACUACGUGCCAGCAGCCGCGGUAAUACGUAGGGUGCGAGCGUUAAUCGGAAUUACUGGGCGUAAAGCGUGCGCAGGCGGAUUGUUAAGCAAGAUGUGAAAUCCCCGGGCUUAACCUGGGAAUGGCAUUUUGAACUGGCAGUCUAGAGUGUGUCAGAGGGGGGUGGAAUUCCACGUGUAGCAGUGAAAUGCGUAGAUAUGUGGAGGAACACCAAUGGCGAAGGCAGCCCCCUGGGAUAACACUGACGCUCAUGUACGAAAGCGUGGGUAGCAAACAGGAUUAGAUACCCUGGUAGA
rnacentral:rRNA from 1 species